UACGUAGGGUGCAAGCGUUGUCCGGAAUUAUUGGGCGUAAAGAGCUCGUAGGCGGUUUGUCGCGUCUGCUGUGAAAUCCCGAGGCUCAACCUCGGGUCUGCAGUGGGUACGGGCAGACUAGAGUGCGGUAGGGGAGAUUGGAACUCCUGGUGUAGCGGUGGAAUGCGCAGAUAUCAGGAAGAACACCGAUGGCGAAGGCAGAUCUCUGGGCCAUAACUGACGCUGAGGAGCGAAAGCGUGGGGAGCGAACAGG
rnacentral:rRNA from 1 species